CACCAGGCGCGAAAACUUUGCAAUACACGAAAGUGUGACAGGGCUAUCCCGAGUGCCAUCCGCUGAGGAAGGCUUUUACCCAGUCUAGAACGCUGGGGGAAUAAGGAGAGGGCAAGUCUGGUGUCAGCCGCCGCGGUAAUACCAGCUCUCCGAGUGGUGUGGAUGUUUAUUGGGCCUAAAGCAUCCGUAGCUGGCUAAGUUAGUCCCUUGUUAAAUCCACCGAAUUAAUCGUUGGAUUGCGGGGGAUACUGCUUGGCUAGGGGACGAGAGAGGCAGACGGUAUUUCCGGGGUAGGGGUGAAAUCCUAUAAUCCCGGGAAGACCACCAGUGGCGAAGGCUGUCUGCUAGAACGCGCCCGACGGUGAGGGAUGAAAGCUGGGGGAGCGAACCGGAUUAGAUACCCGGGUAGUCCCAGCUGUAAACGAUGCAGGCUAGGUGUUUGGACGGCCACGUGCCGUUCUAGUGCCGCAGGGAAGCUGUUAAGCCUGCCGCCUGGGGAGUACGAUCGCAAGAUUGAAACUUAAAGGAAUUGGCGGGGGAGCACAAGGGCGAUU
rnacentral:rRNA from 1 species